AAGACCUUGCACUUUUGGAGCGGCCGAUGUCUGAUUAGCUAGUUGGUGGGGUAAUGGCCUACCAAAGCUUCGAUCAGUAGCUGGUCUGAGAGGACGGCCAGCCACACUGGGACUGAGACACGGCCCAGACUCCUACGGGGGGCAGCAGUGGGGAAUUUUGGACAAUGGGCGCAAGCCUGAUCCAGCCAUGCCGCGUGAGUGAAGAAGGCCUUCGGGUUGUAAAGCUCUUUCAGCCGGGAAGAAAAGGUUGCGACUAAUAAUCGCAAUUCAUGACGGUACCGGAAGAAGAAGCACCGGCUAACUACGUGCCAGCAGCCGCGGUAAUACGUAGGGUGCGAGCGUUAAUCGGAAUUACUGGGCGUAAAGGGUGCGCAGGCGGUUUUGUAAGUCAGAUGUGAAAUCCCCGGGCUUAACCUGGGAACU
rnacentral:rRNA from 1 species